GUUGGUCUAACACGCUGAAAAACUCUUAUGCUUUAAAGAUGGUAAGUUCGUUACAAUCGCCCGCCUUCUUACAUGCAAACGCAUGGGACUCACAGGAAUUAUUCACGAAGUGGUUCACAUAACAUUUUGCUAAUGGUGUGUACAAUCUUCUACACUCAGAACGACUUGCCAUCCAAAGAUAUUCUCUCGUCAGAUAACGCUCCUGGCCACUCUCCAAAUCUUGAUGAAGAUCAAAGUAAGCUUAACGCAAAUUUAGAUUACAAACUUCCAAGCACAACAUCUAGUUUACAUCUGAUGGACCAGGAUAUAGUAGUAGCGUUGAUGACGCACUACCGGCAGGAAUCGUUUAAGAAAGUGGCGGACGUGUGAGGCACAAACGAUGAUAAAGACUGUAGACUGUUUGAGAUUAUUGUCUCUCUUUUAAUAUUUUAAAUGUUACAAAUUCAUUGAUAUUGAGUGGAUGAAGGCAGUUUUGAGCGUAGUCACGCAAAUUAAGGAACAACAUUGAAGGAUUUGGACCGGUGGAUGAGUGCGCUACAUUCAUAUAGGGAAUUUCAAACUUUGCAAGAGAUCAUGAAUUUGAGAAGAUGAUCGAAAAUUAGAUUUGAGAAUAAAUUGCUGACAGAAAAGAAGAUUAAUGAAUAAGAAUACCAUCCACUUGAAAAAUUCAGGUUUUGCGGAAUUACUGAGCAUAGAGAAUCAAAACAACGUGCAGGUAAUGAAAAGUGACAUUUAUAUGAUUAUCCUGUAAUUUUAAGUCUUCGUGGAGUUUUCUGAAAUGAAUCGUGAAAGGAAAAAAAAAACUUUGUACAGACGAACUUCAAUGAAAUUUUAGCGCAUUAUUACGGGAUAUUUAAAGAAGAAUAAAAAAAAAACCAUGACAAAACAACUCGGGAUUUUUACUCUAGGAAGGUUCCUGUGACUCGAAAUGUCCUGUCAUCGGUGAUGAACCUCACCAAAGGUCAUAAUCACAGAGUUGAUAUUGUGUCAUCUGCCCCAGGUGGAAAGACAUCAAUAUAAUGACGCAUAAAACAUAUCUCAUGGAUUUCAACUUUGAAUCAUUUUGAAUAGUAGCGGAAUAUACUGACUCAGUACAUACCCUAUCGAUUAUCUAAAGACGAAAUGUAAAUUCGAGCCGGUUAAGAUCUGAACUCAGAGAGUAAACGGACAUUAACUAAUACCGCAAGGGUCGGCGUUUCAUUUCGUCUCUACUCGGAAUUUCUCAACACGUGACACAACUCUGGCAAUGGAAAAGAAAAGAAAUACUGUCGCCUGAUGAGUCUCGCACGUGACGAGAAACUGCAUAGCGGAACGGCGAAGUGAAUCAUCAACUACAAAGAAACAUUUAUACAAACAUUUAUAAAUAUAUAUCUCUAUUUAUAUAUGUAUCUAUAUACCUAGAUAUAUACAUAUACAUGUAUUCUGUAUCUGUCUGUCUACUUCUCACUAUCUCUCUCCCUCCCCCUCUCCCCUCUCUCUCUCUCUCUCUC